rnacentral:misc_RNA from 1 species
AACGCAAAUGGCGCUUUCUGGUAUCCCAGGAAGCAUGCCUGUUUGAGGACCGUAGGAAAGCCUUACAUCACCGUAGGGGGGACAAUCGGUCAAACCGACUGUCCUCCCGGGUGGACAGUGGAUUACCAGCGUCGAUACCGUCGAUGCUUGUGCUCCGCAAUUGAUUCUCAUGGGUGGAAAAAGAAUUUACGGUGACCUCCCAGGCCAGAAGUUAAUAGGCGAGAGUCUUCCGAGAAGAGGGGGGCUCUUUCUCUUUAACGGCCGACGAUCUUGGAAGCACCGGAAAGGAAAGCCAUUCCGUGUGAAGCGGGGUGUUUUUUGGAUGCUCCGCGACUUGGGGGGAUAUUGGGAAUGGAUGGGUGGAUGGAUAAAAUCCACAAACCCAAACCCAAACCCAAAAUCCCCCUCCCUAACAUGGUCUCAAAUCAGGCAAGAGAACCCGCUGAACUUAA